rnacentral:rRNA from 1 species
GAUGAACGCUAGCUACAGGCUUAACACAUGCAAGUCGAGGGGCAGCGGGAUUGAAGCUUGCUUCAAUUGCCGGCGACCGGCGCACGGGUGAGUAACGCGUAUCCAACCUUCCGUACACUCAGGGAUAGCCUUUCGAAAGAAAGAUUAAUACCUGAUGGUAUGAUGAGAUCGCAUGGUAUCAUCAUUAAAGAUUUAUUGGUAAACGAUGGGGAUGCGUUCCAUUAGGUAGUAGGCGGGGUAACGGCCCACCUAGCCGACGAUGGAUAGGGGUUCUGAGAGGAAGGUCCCCCACAUUGGAACUGAGACACGGUCCAAACUCCUACGGGAGGCAGCAGUGAGGAAUAUUGGUCAAUGGGCGAGAGCCUUGAACCAGCCAAGUAGCGUGAAGGAUGAAGGUCCUACGGAUUGUAAACUUCUUUUAUACGGGAAUAAAGUAUCCUACGUGUAGGAUUUUUGUAUGUACCGUAUGAAUAAGCCAUCGGCCUAACUCCGUGCCAGCAGCCGUCGG